CCAAUAGCCAACCCAAACUGGGACCCCAGUGAUGACAAGAAUCAAGAACGGCUUCAUCAUUAUAGCAAUAUGCUUCUCGGAGGUACAAGGGAAGCAAGCCAGCCCCUGGUCAAUUGAGGAAAUCUCAGAGAAACAGAACAAGGCCCUAAUGAAAAUCCAUCAGCAUUCCUAAAUUGAUAAUAAGAAUGCCUCCAGAAUUACACCCCUUGGGACCCAGAUGACCCAAAAGCCGAGUAGUACUUUAAUCCCACUUCAUCUCUCAGCCCCAGAUAUUCAGAGAAUAAAAUUCCUAUUGAUC
rnacentral:sRNA from 1 species